rnacentral:rRNA from 1 species
AUGAACGCUGGCGGCGUGCCUAAUACAUGCAAGUCGAGCGAGCGGACGAGAAGCUUGCUUCUCUGAUGUUAGCGGCGGACGGGUGAGUAACACGUGGAUAACCUACCUAUAAGACUGGGAUAACUUCGGGAAACCGUAGCUAAUACCGGAUAAUAUUUUGAACCGCAUGGUUCAAAAGUGAAAGACGGUCUUGCUGUCACUUAUAGAUGGAUCCGCGCUGCAUUAGCUAGUUGGUAAGGUAACGGCUUACCAAGGCAACGAUGCAUAGCCGACCUGAGAGGGUGAUCGGCCACACUGGAACUGAGACACGGUCCAGACUCCUACGGGAGGCAGCAGUAGGGAAUCUUCCGCAAUGGGCGAAAGCCUGACGGAGCAACGCCGCGUGAGUGAUGAAGGUCUUCGGAUCGUAAAACUCUGUUAUUAGGGAAGAACAUAUGUGUAAGUAACUGUGCACAUCUUGACGGUACCUAAUCAGAAAGCCACGGCUAACUACGUG